rnacentral:rRNA from 1 species
CAGUCGAACGAACUCUUCGGAGUUAGUGGCGGACGGGUGAGUAACACGUGGGAACGUGCCUUUAGGUUCGGAAUAACUCAGGGAAACUUGUGCUAAUACCGAAUGUGCCCUUCGGGGGAAAGAUUUAUCGCCUUUAGAGCGGCCCGCGUCUGAUUAGCUAGUUGGUGAGGUAAAGGCUCACCAAGGCGACGAUCAGUAGCUGGUCUGAGAGGAUGAUCAGCCACAUUGGGACUGAGACACGGCCCAAACUCCUACGGGAGGCAGCAGUGGGGAAUCUUGCGCAAUGGGCGAAAGCCUGACGCAGCCAUGCCGCGUGAAUGAUGAAGGUCUUAGGAUUGUAAAAUUCUUUCACCGGGGACGAUAAUGACGGUACCCGGAGAAGAAGCCCCGGCUAACUUCGUGCCAGCAGCCGCGGUAAUACGAAGGGGGCUAGCGUUGCUCGGAAUUACUGGGCGUAAAGGGAGCGUAGGCGGACAUUUAAGUCAGGGGUGAAAUCCCGGGGCUCAACCUCGGAAUUGCCUUUGAUACUGGGUGUCUUGAGUAUGAGAGAGGUGUGUGGAACUCCGAGUGUAGAGGUGAAAUUCGUAGAUAUUCGGAAGAACACCAGUGGCGAAGGCGACACACUGGCUCAUUACUGACGCUGAGGCUCGAAAGCGUGGGGAGCAAACAGGAUUAGAUACCCUGGUAGUCCACGCCGUAA